rfam:Amborella trichopoda AMTR_V1.0_contig_3125, whole genome shotgun sequence.
UCAAAGUUUUUUUUUAAAAACACAAAACAUAUAAUGAAAAUUUUG